rnacentral:tRNA from 1 species
AGGCAUAUAGUUCAAUGGUAGAAUAUCCGGCUCCAACCCGGAGGAUCAGAGUUCGAGUCUUUGUGUGCCUG